rnacentral:rRNA from 1 species
GCGAGUCGAGAGGGUUCGGCCCUCGGCAGACUGCUCAGUAACACGUGGAUAACCUACCCUUAGGUGGAAGAUAAUCUCGGGAAACUGAGAAUAAUACUCCAUAGAUCUAGGAUGCUGGAAUGCACCUAGAUUGAAAGCUCUGGCGCCUAAGGAUGGGUCUGCGGACUAUCAGGUUGUAGUCAGGGUAAAGACCUGACUAGCCUACGACGGAUAUGGGUUGUGAGAGCAAUAGCCCAGAGACGAUAUCUGAGACACGAUAUCGGGCCCUACGGGGCGCAGCAGGCGCGAAAUCUUCACAAUGUGCGAAAGCACGAUGAGGGGAUCCCAAGUGCUGGCACGUAAGUGUCAGCUGUUUCUUUGUCUAAAAAACAAAGAGAGUAAGAGCUGGGUAAGACGGGUGCCAGCCGCCGCGGUAAUACCUGCAGCUCAAGUGGUGGCCGCUAUUAUUGGGCCUAAAACGUCCGUAGCCGGUUUAGUAAAUGCUUGGGUAAAUUGUGUAGCUUAACUAUACGAAUACCGGGUAGACUGCUAAACUUGGGACCGGGAGAGGCUAGAGGUACUCCUAGGGUAGAGGUGAAAUUCUGUAAUCCUAGGGGGACCACCAGUGGCGAAGGCGUCUAGCUAGAACGGGUCUGACGGUGAGGGACGAAGCCCUGGGGCGCAAACCGGAUUAGAUACCCGGGUAGUCCAGGGUGUAAACGCUGCUUGCUUGAUGUUAGUUGGGCUCCGAGCCCAACUAGUGU